GGGGAGUCAGAAGGAAAACAGAUCAGACCAGAGCAGACAAUAGGCCCCUAAAGUGUUCCCCCUAAGUUGCUUUGAUGUUGUCCUGGUGUCUUGAUACCGGGAGGCCAGGGAUUGCAGGAAAAGGGUCUUUUUUGUCUUCAGUCACUUUCCCCCCUCCGUGUCUGAAAUGAUUUUCCAGAAUUUCUGCUCAUAAAAAAGGACUGAAGGCAGGACUAGCUGGUGUUGCUCCUCUUUGACUCCAAAGUUCCUCCUGGGAGGACAGAGAUCAUUCUGGAAAGUUCCUCUGUGUCCCAAUGUAGAAGAGAGAGCAAAUUCGACAUCUUGAAAGGUGAGGCCCUUCUGAGAAAGGGGCUCCUGGAUGGACCCCUGGGCUGCUGCCUUUCCAGAAUGAGCUCUGCAGAGUCCUGACCCGCGGGGUUUCG